AAUAAGAUGCCUGAUAUUAAAAGGACUAUUUUGAUAGAAUAGAUAAUGUAUAAAUUUAAUACUCUUAUUA
rnacentral:tRNA from 1 species